ensembl:snoRNA LOC120099507 small nucleolar RNA SNORA17
CUUGCACCUAGAAGCAUUUCAGGUGUGUCUGUUAUGUCACAUGUGUAUGAGUAGGUGAUGGAGAGGAAGGAGGCUAUGUCAAAUUAGCCUACCAUUUUUCUGACCUAUGAGCAUCUGAAUGAUUAGUAGGCUAACAUU